GGGCUUGUAGUUUAGUGGUAGAACGCUUACCUGCCAUGUAUGAGGCACUGGGUUCGAGACUCAGCAGCACA
rnacentral:tRNA from 1 species